GCGGGUGCACACUUCCGUCCAGCUGGCCGCCACUGGACACUCUCCCUGUAAGUCCCAGUAAACCUGUAUGUCUCGUUUGCAGUCUCCGGCUUGUUUCUUUGGCCUCUCAGCCUGAUAGCCCACCGUCCUAGCCCAGCUGGGCUUACGGCCUAACACACGGUGAGCCCACGAGGAGACCGAGGAAACCCCCAUGAGCGCUGAGACUAUGGGGCAUGGGAAAGGGUGUCCGUGGGGUAAUCUUGGGUUGGCUGGUGUCCUCCCUCUGGGGGCCAGUCACCACCAUCUUUUAUGGAUGGGGCCCACUGCGUGAGUACGGGGACCCCCCAAAACACCAAAGGGCCUAGGAGAAGUCCUGGGCAUGGUUGAUGUGGGAAAACAGAAAGUAGAAGCCCGGGCAGUAGCUGCUGCAGUGGGGUGGCCCCUCCUUGACGCUGUACGCUUAGCCACAGAAGCUGAAAAGGAUGCUAGAGCGAAGGACAACAUCUGCGAACGUUUUCACUGCCUGAAGACACACCGCUGCUGACAUACAAAAUCACUCCAACUGCUGAGUAUGCAGCGAGCUGCCUCUCUCUUCAACCACAGGGUUACCAUGGUGUCUCCAAGCUGCCAACGCCUCUGACUGAAGGGCCCUAGGAGAGUGGAGGAACACUGCCCUCUUUCCCAUUUCUACUCCCCUCCACAUGCUGUGCUCUCUAUUGCUGUUGUGGUGUCUGCUUACAAUGCUCCUCUAUGUGUCUGGCUCAAGGGACUCUGCGGAAGAAUGGCGCACGCGACAAGAUUGUGAGGGCCAUUAGGGCAAAAGGGGGAUGGGGUGUGGGUCCUGGGCCUUGCCUGCUCAACAGAAACCCCCAGGCCCAUUGCAACUGUGGGGGACUGGAAUUGGCCUCGCCAAGAUAUGUCUCUUUGGCAUGAGGAUUAUUUGGGGCUGAUUACUUUUAAUAAACUGCAGACAGGAAAGCAACUGAAAAGUAGAAUUUACUUACCCUUUGUAAGAGACAUUUACAUUGUAAAGGAAAUCUCCAUCUGUACAAGGUGUCUCCCUCUCCGUACCAGGAAGAAGGGGGGAUGACCUUAUCUCUAGAAACUCCUAUCAGUACAGAAUGCAAGGACUUAAAUCUGCAUAAUAAUCUUAUUCCUGUUUAUUGUACUUGUCUGGUAACCUCCUAUAACUGACUCCCCCCACCUGCAGCAUCCUCCUUUGUCUUUAGCUGAAUAUGACAUUUAAGGUGGUGGCUUCAGCCAAUUUGGCGAGUUGCUCAGGUUGCCUGAGCCUCUCCCAUGUAUACAUGUUAUAAAGCUUUGUUUAAUUUUCUCCUGUUAUUCUGUCUCAUGUGAAUUUAAUUUGUUCUCAGGCCAAAAGAACCCAAAGAAAGUAGAGGAAAUGUCUAUCUCCCCUACACAACCAUGUUUCCUUCUGGCUCCCUUCUGGGCAGGCAGCCCAGCUACUGGGAUUUGUAACGAUCUGGACCUGGCCAGCCCAGAUCCUCCCUUAUCCCAUGAGAAGAACAUCAUCUUUUUGUUUUCUUUUUUGAGGAAGAAUAACCCUGAGAUAACUGCUGCCAAUCCUCCCCUUUUUGCUGACGAAGACUGGCCCUGAGCUAACAUCCAUGCCCAUCUUCCUCGACUUUAUACAUGGGAUGCCUACCACAGCAUGGCAUGCCAAGCGGUGCCAUGUCCGCACCUGGGAUCCGAACCAGCGAACCCCAGGCCACCAAAGCGGAACAUGCGACCUUAACCACUGUGCCACCAGGCUGGCCCCCAGAACAUCAUGUCUUACAGGGACACAGAGACUCUCCAUGUGAGCUAAUGUUCCUGGGAAUGCUGGUCGUACCAAGGACAGCCCUUUGGCAAGCACACAGCCUUUGCUCUUCUGCCUACUUAAGCAAGCUUCUCUUGGGGGGCAGUGGCAAGUGCACACUUCCAUCCAGCCAGCUGCCACUGGACAUGAUCCCUGUAAAUAAGUCCCAAUAAACGUAUAUGUCUCGUUUGCGGUCCCUGGUUCGUUUCUUCAGUCUCUCGGCCCGAUAUCCCACCGUCCUAACCCAGCUGGGCUUGUGGCCUAACAUAGGGGCAUAGAGCACUUAACAUGUGCCAAAUGAAAACAACAUUCAACUCCAUAAAAUCACUUGGUUUCCAACUUCGACUAGUGACUGGCACCCAGUGUGGAAGACGUGAAGCUAACUGUCAUGUGUGACAAUGCCCUAUCUCUUGUCAUACAAUAGCAAAUCCACUAUUAUGCUAUGUUUGUUCUACUACACAUAUAUAUUUUUGAAGGUCUUUGGUGAAGAGUGGUAUGUUUAUUUUCAUGUGAAAUAGCCACAAUAAUUAUGUACUGUCAUAUCUUCCUGACUUAAAAGGCACUUGAUAUAUAUAGUUAGAGAUUAUCUAUUGCAUAUAGGUUGCUAGAUAUUCAUUGUAAAUUACAUCCUUAAUAAAUAUGAAGUUAUCAUCUUUUUCCCAUUUAAUGCUAAUUGCAAUGGUGUUACAUUUUCUCCAAUUUAGCAUUCCUACUCCUCACUUCAUUGUGUCUAUGUUUGAUAGAGCAUUACCUGUCAUUUUGCUUAUAGAAUAUUUCUUGCAUGUUAUUUUAUGAUCUGUUAUAAACAAAGAGGUAAUAUAGUCCAAUUUACUGGCAAAAGGGAGUCUCUGGAGCCAGAGUCUUUGCAUCCGGAUAGAAGUUGCAACAUAAAUAACAAAGUGACCAAAG
rnacentral:lncRNA from 1 species